AUUAAAGAGAUUUUGAAUGAACUUUUUUCGAAAGGUGAAUAUGACCCAACUCUUUAUAAAAGUAAAUCGAGUAAAUAGUUUAAUAAUGAAUGUUUUUUUAGUUGGGGCUAGUGCAGAGAUGAUAGAGAAAAUGUUUGAGUGAGAGAGAUGAAGGAGAAAGGGUUGAGAGGAGUGAAUGAGGUGAGUAAGGGUUUGGGGUUUUGUUUUUUUAGUUUUGAGAAUGAAAAUUAUUAAAAUAAGACAAGUGUUUCUGAUUUUUUUCAAUUGGAACUAGAGUAGGGAUGACAGAGAAAAGGUUGGAGUGAAAGAGAUGAAAGAGAAAUGGUUGAGAGGAAUCAGAGAGAUUGGUAAGGGUUUGGGGGGUUUCUUUUUUUAUUUUUUUAAUUUUGAGAAUGAAAAUUAUUAAAAUACCCUUAACCUUAAAACUUAGCAUUCAUGAUAUAUAAACCCGGU
rnacentral:lncRNA from 1 species